rnacentral:rRNA from 1 species
GAUCCUGGCUCAGGACGAACGCUGGCGGCGUGCUUAACACAUGCAAGUCGAACGGAAAGGCCCAGCUUGCUGGGUACUCGAGUGGCGAACGGGUGAGUAACACGUGGGUGAUCUGCCCCUGACUUUGGGAUAAGCCUGGGAAACUGGGUCUAAUACCGGAUAUGACCUUACAUCGCAUGGUGUUUGGUGGAAAGCUUUUGCGGUUGGGGAUGGGCCCGCGGCCUAUCAGCUUGUUGGUGGGGUAAUGGCCUACCAAGG